rnacentral:rRNA from 1 species
CGGGUGAGGAACACGUGAAGAACCUGCCCCGAACUCUGGGAUAACAGUUGGAAACGACUGCUAAUACCGAUGCCGUUGUUGGAGUCACAUGGCUCUACAACGAAAGUUUUUCGGUUCGGGAGGGCUUCGCGGCCUAUCAGCUAGUUGGUGAGGUAACGGCUCACCAAGGCAUCGACGGGUAGCUGGUCUGAGAGGAUGAUCAGCCACACUGGGACUGAGACACGGCCCAGACUCCUACGGGAGGCAGCAGUGGGGAAUCUUGCGCAAUGGGCGAAAGCCUGACGCAGCAACGCCGCGUGCGGGAAGAAGGCUUUAGGGUUGUAAACCGCUUUCAGCAGGGAAGAAAAUGACGGUACCUGCAGAAGAAGGUGCGGCCAACUACGUGCCAGCAGCCGCGGUGACACGUAGGCACCAAGCGUUGUCCGGAUUUAUUGGGCGUAAAGAGCUCGUAGGCGGUUCAGUAAGUCGGGUGUGAAAACUCUGGGCUUAACCCAGAGCCGCCACCCGAUACUGCUGUGACUUGAGUCCGGUAGGGGAGCGGGGAAUUCCUGGUGUAGCGGUGAAAUGCGCAGAUAUCAGGAGGAACACCGGUGGCGAAGGCGCCGCUCUGGGCCGAGACUGACGCUGAGGAGCGAAAGCAUGGGUAGCAAACAGGAUUAGAUACCCUGGUAGUCCAUGCCGUAAACGUUGGGCACUAGGUGUGGGCAUCAACCAACGAUGUCCGCGCCGUCGCUAACGC